UGUAGCAUCAGCUGAAGCCUCUGCUUCCCUUCGACGCCUUGGUCUUGAGAGUUUUGCCUUGUGAAACUGCAUAUAAAUCUUACAGCCCCACAGUUUCUGCCCUGGUGAUCUCAGCCAAAGGCAGUUGUGACCAAAGGAGCUAUAUUUUGCAGACACAGAAGUGGACAAAGGAGUAAAAGAUGACAAGUCCAGCCUGAUCAGUUGACCUAACUGGUAUACUUUAGAAAAUGCACGGAGAAAGCAAAGGACACUGCAUUUGAUAUCUGCUUGCUCAGUGAGUACUACGGGAAAAUGAACUCCAGGAGGAGAGAGGAGGCUGCGGGCCAGAGCCACAGGGGCAGCAUUUACGAGACGUCGGAGGGGUGAGAGGUGUGACACCGCUGCCAGUUCCUGGACUCUGGCACUACUCCGCUACGCAAGGGCACAGCGGGUCUCUGCACACAAGUCCUCUU